rnacentral:rRNA from 1 species
GCGCACGGGCUGAGUAACACGUAGGUGACCUGCCUUUUAGAGGGGAAUAACCAGAAGAAAUUUUGGCUAAUGCCGCAUACGAAGCACGGUUUUAAGACUGUGCUUGAAAGAAUGCCUCUGCAUAUGCAUUCGCUAUUAGAUGGGCCUGCGGGACAUUAGCUAGUUGGUGGGGUAAAGGCCUACCAAGGCGACGAUGUCUAUCCGGUCUGAGAGGAUGAUCGGACACACUGGAACUGAGACACGGUCCAGACUCCUACGGGAGGCAGCAGUGGGGAAUAUUGCGCAAUGGGGGAAACCCUGACGCAGCAACGCCGCGUGAGUGAGGAAGGACUUCGGUCUGUAAAGCUCUGUUAAUGUGGAAAAAUGGCAGUUGGUCUAAUAGGCCGAUUGUUUGAUGGUACACAUAGAGGAAGCACCGGCUAACUUCGUGCCAGCAGCCGCGGUAAUACGAAGGGUGCAAGCGUUGUUCGGAUUUAUUGGGCGUAAAGCGCGCGUAGGCGGACCUGCAAGUCAGAUGUGAAAUCUCGGGGCUCAACCUCGAAACUGCGUCUGAAACUACAGGUCUAGAAUCUCGGAGGGGGAAGGGGAAUAUCGCAUGUAGGGGUAAAAUCCGUAGAUAUGCGAUGGAACACCAGAGGCGAAGGCGCCUUCCUGGACGAGUAUUGACGCUGAGGCGCGAAAGCGUGGGGAUCAAACAGGAUUAGAUACCCUGGUAGUCCACGCUGUAAACGAUGAACACUAGAUAUUGGAGGAUUUGACCCCUUCAGUGUCGUAGCUAACGCGUUAAGUGUUCCGCCUGGGAAGUACGGUCGCAAGACUAAAACUCAAAGGAAUUGACGGGGGCCCGCACAAGCGGUGGAUUAUGUGGUUUAAUUCGAAGCAACGCGCAGAACCUUACCUAGGCUUGAAAUCCUACGAAUCCCUUUUAAACGAGGGAGUGCUCUUCGGAGAAUGUAGUGACAGGCGCUGCAUGGCUGUCGUCAGCUCGUGUCGUGAGAUGUUGGGUUAAGUCUCGCAACGAGCGCAACCCCCAUUUUUAGUUGCCAGCAUUAAGUUGGGCACUCUAGAAAGACUGCCUGGGCUAACCAGGAGGAAGGU